UCUCGUUGGUCUAGGGGUAUGAUUCUCGCUUUGGGUGCGAGAGGUCCUGGGUUCAAGUCCCGGGCUCAAA
rnacentral:tRNA from 1 species